GUACGGGAGGCAGCAGUGGGGAAUAUUGGACAAUGGGGGCAACCCUGAUCCAGCAAUGCCGCGUGAGUGAUGAAGGCCUUCGGGUUGUAAAGCUCUUUUGCCAGGGACGAUGAUGACGGUACCUGGAGAAUAAGCCCCGGCUAACUUCGUGCCAGCAGCCGCGGUAAUACGAAGGGGGCAAGCGUUGUUCGGAAUUACUGGGCGUAAAGGGCGCGUAGGCGGCCGAUCAAGUCAGGCGUGAAAUUCCCGGGCUCAACCUGGGGGCUGCGCUUGAUACUGAUUGGCUUGAAUGCGGGAGAGGAUAGUGGAAUUCCCAGUGUAGAGGUGAAAUUCGUAGAUAUUGGGAAGAACACCGGUGGCGAAGGCGGCUAUCUGGCCCGUAAUUGACGCUGAGGCGCGAAAGCGUGGGGAGCAAACAGGAUUAGAAACCCCAGUAGUCC
rnacentral:rRNA from 1 species